GACGAACGCUGGCGGCGUGCUUAACACAUGCAAGUCGAACGGAAAGGCCCUGCUUUUGUGGGGUGCUCGAGUGGCGAACGGGUGAGUAACACGUGAGUAACCUGCCCUUGACUUUGGGAUAACUUCAGGAAACUGGGGCUAAUACCGGAUAGGAGCUCCUGCUGCAUGGUGGGGGUUGGAAAGUUUCGGCGGUUGGGGAUGGACUCGCGGCUUAUCAGCUUGUUGGUGGGGUAGUGGCUUACCAAGGCUUUGACGGGUAGCCGGCCUGAGAGGGUGACCGGCCACAUUGGGACUGAGAUACGGCCCAGACUCCUACGGGAGGCAGCAGUGGGGAAUAUUGCACAAUGGGCGGAAGCCUGAUGCAGCAACGCCGCGUGCGGGAUGACGGCCUUCGGGUUGUAAACCGCUUUCGCCUGUGACGAAGCGUGAGUGACGGUAAUGGGUAAAGAAGCACCGGCUAACUACGUGCCAGCAGCCGCGGUGAUACGUAGGGUGCGAGCGUUGUCCGGAUUUAUUGGGCGUAAGGGGCUCGUAGGUGGUUGAUCGCGUCGGAAGUGUAAUCUUGGGGCUUAACCCUGAGCGUGCUUUCGAUACGGGUUGACUUGAGGAAGGUAGGGGAGAAUGGAAUUCCUGGUGGAGCGGUGGAAUGCGCAGAUAUCAGGAGGAACACCAGUGGCGAAGGCGGUUCUCUGGGCCUUUCCUGACGCUGAGGAGCGAAAGCGUGGGGAGCGAACAGGCUUAGAUACCCUGGUAGUCCACGCUGUAAACGGUGGGUACUAGGUGUGGGGUCCAUUCCACGGGUUCCGUGCCGUAGCUAACGCUUUAAGUACCCCGCCUGGGGAGUACGGCCGCAAGGCUAAAACUCAAAGGAAUUGACGGGGCCCCGCACAAGCGGCGGAGCAUGCGGAUUAAUUCGAUGCAACGCGUAGAACCUUACCUGGGUUUGACAUGGAUCGGGAGCGCUCAGAGAUGGGUGUGCCUCUUUUGGGGUCGGUUCACAGGUGGUGCAUGGCUGUCGUCAGCUCGUGUCGUGAGAUGUUGGGUUAAGUCCCGCAACGAGCGCAACCCUUGUUCACUGUUGCCAGCACGUUAUGGUGGGGACUCAGUGGAGACCGCCGGGGUCAACUCGGAGGAAGGUGGGGAUGACGUCAAGUCAUCAUGCCCCUUAUGUCCAGGGCUUCACGCAUGCUACAAUGGCUGGUACAGAGAGUGGCGAGCCUGUGAGGGUGAGCGAAUCUCGGAAAGCCGGUCUCAGUUCGGAUUGGGGUCUGCAACUCGACCUCAUGAAGUCGGAGUCGCUAGUAAUCGCAGAUCAGCAACGCUGCGGUGAAUACGUUCCCGGG
rnacentral:rRNA from 1 species